AACGAACGCUGGCGGCAUGCCUAACACAUGCAAGUCGAACGAGACCUUCGGGUCUAGUGGCGCACGGGUGCGUAACGCGUGGGAACCUGCCCUUAGGUUCGGAAUAACUCCCCGAAAGGGGUGCUAAUACCGGAUAAUGUCUUCAGACCAAAGAUUUAUCGCCUUUGGAUGGGCCCGCGUUGGAUUAGCUAGUUGGUAGGGUAAAAGCCUACCAAGGCGACGAUCCAUAGCUGGUCUGAGAGGAUGAUCAGCCACACUGGGACUGAGACACGGCCCAGACUCCUACGGGAGGCAGCAGUGGGGAAUAUUGGACAAUGGGCGAAAGCCUGAUCCAGCAAUGCCGCGUGAGUGAUGAAGGCCUUAGGGUUGUAAAGCUCUUUUACCCGGGAUGAUAAUGACAGUACCGGGAGAAUAAGCUCCGGCUAACUCCGUG
rnacentral:rRNA from 1 species